GAGCCGUGUGUCCGGGUGUGCUGAUGCAAUGCCCGGGUGCGCACACCUAGGUGCUUGUCUCGCCACCACACUUCCUUAAAAAGGCUCCUUCCCGGGCGGGAAUCCGGGGGGCUGCUGGCAGGACUGUUAGGUGCUGCCUUCUCCUAGCGGCUCCCCUCCUGCAGAGCCGCAGGGGCACGGUGUCAACCCCAGGCCCCACAGGGCAGAGGCGAGCGCGGGGAGGACUCCGGCCGCUUCCGUGGCCCUCUCCUCUGCCGUAGUUGUUGGCGCUCUGGCCGGUUAUCCCCUGUCUCUUGCACCGCGUUGUCAAAGAGCCGCUGGGCUUGGACAGGGAGGUGGGAAGCGCCUCUCGGGGUGCUGCGGGCCGGGCCGAGCCUGGUCCGGGGCAGUGGGUCCGGGUCUGGGCCCCUCUCCCGGUCUGGCUCCCGGGUCCGCUCUCGGCAGCGCCGCCAGCCGGGCCCCCGCAGCAGCGCUCGCCGCGGACAGCCCGUUUUGCAAAGUACGAACAAAUGGCUGUUUCACCAUUUCCCCCUUCUUUUCUCACGACUUUAACAGAAACCAUGUGAGUCACCCCUCUGAGACAUAACACUACAGGCACCAGAUAAAUGCGGACAGAGGCUUGAAUGCGGAUCCGCCGAUAUUAACCUCCUCUUGGCAAACAUCAGUGGUUGCUGUCUGUGCAGUCUGGAGAGCAGCACAGGCCGAGGUGAGCAGUGUUUUUGCUUCUAAGCGGGAUCAGGGUCUCAGUUCCCAGCUCCACCGGUGAGCACUGCCAAGGGGGGAAACACAGCAACUGGCCUGAGAAAGGAAAGCACUCUCAUGUGUGUGGAGGGUCAGACGCCCAGGGGAUCCCUUGUCACCAGCGCCGGCUGUUGGAGCUGGGCCCCACAAAGGCCACUCAGCAAGUGGCCGCUUUUUGGGAAGUG